rnacentral:rRNA from 1 species
CCUACGGGAGGCUGCAGUAAGGAAUAUUGGUCAAUGGAGGAAACUCUGACCCAGCCAUCCCGCGUGAAGGAUGAAGGGGCUCUGCCUUGUAAACUUCUUUUGUCUGGGGCGAAAAAGCUCGAUUUAUCGAGAACUGACGGUACCAGAAGAAUAAGCACCGGCUAACUCCGUGCCAGCAGCCGCGGUAAUACGGAGGGUGCAAGAGUUAUCCGGAAUCACUGGGUCGAAGGGGUGCGUGGACGUCUGUGGAGAAAGGCUGUGGCUUAACCAUGGAAGUGCCAUUGAGACUGCAGAGCUUGAAUGAGGUUGAGGUUGGCGGAAUGUGACAUGUAGCGGUGAAAUGCUUAGAUAUGUCAUGGAACACCGAUUGCGAAGGCAGCUGACUGGACCGAGAUUGACGCUGAGGCACGAAAGCGUGGGGAGCGAACAGGAUUAGAUACCCCUGUAGUC